rnacentral:rRNA from 1 species
GACGAACGCUGGCGGCGUGCUUAACACGUGCAAGUCGAACGAUGAAGCCGGAGCUUGCUCUGGUGAAUUAGUGGCGAACGGGUGAGUAACACGUGAGUAACCUGCCCUUGACUCUGGGAUAACUGCGGGAAACUGUAGCUAAUACCGGAUACGACCCUCGGAGGCAUCUCCUGGGGGUGGAAAGAAUUUCGGUCAAGGAUGGACUCGCGGCCUAUCAGCUAGUUGGUGAGGUAAAGGCUCACCAAGGCGACGACGGGUAGCCGGCCUGAGAGGGUGACCGGCCACACGGGGACUGAGACACGGCCCAGACUCCUACGGGAGGCAGCAGUGGGGAAUAUUGCACAAUGGGCGCAAGCCUGAUACAGCAACGCCGCGUGAGGGAUGACGGCCUUCGGGUUGUAAACCUCUUUUAGCAGGGAAGAAGCGAAAGUGACGGUACCUGCAGAAAAAGCACCGGCUAACUACGUGCCAGCCGCCGCGGUAA